rnacentral:rRNA from 1 species
UACGGAGGAUGCGAGCGUUAUCCGGAUUUACUGGGUGUAAAGGGAGCGUAGACGGCAACACAAGUCUGAAGUGAAAUGCCGGGGCUUAACCCCGGAACUGCUUUGGAAACUGUGCAGCUAGAGUGCAGGAGAGGUAAGUGGAAUUCCUAGUGUAGCGGUGAAAUGCGUAGAUAUCACGCAGAACUCCGAUUGCGAAGGCAGCUUACUGGACUGUAACUGACGUUGAGGCUCGAAAGCGUGGGGAGCAA